rnacentral:rRNA from 1 species
UACGUAGGCAGCAAGCGUUGUUCGGAGUUACUGGGCGUAAAGGGUGCGUAGGCGGUCCUAUAAGUAUGGUGUGAAAUCUCCCGGCUUAACUGGGAGGGUGCGCUAUAGACUGUGGGACUAGAGUGUGGGAGAGGAAAGUGGAAUUCCUGGUGUAGCGGUGAAAUGCGUAGAUAUCAGGAGGAACACCGGUGGUGUAAACGGCUUUCUGGACAGAGUCUGACGCUGAGGCGCGAAAGCUAGGGGAGCAAACAGG